rnacentral:tRNA from 1 species
GACCCCAUCGUCUAGGGGACCAGGACACCGGGUUUUCAUCCCGGCGACACGGGUUCGAAUCCCGUUGGGGUCA